AUUGAACGCUAGCGGGAUGCUUUACACAUGCAAGUCGAACGAGUGGCGGACGGGUGAGUAAUAUCUCGGAACGUGCCCAGUAGAGGGUGAUAACUACUCGACAGUGUUGCUAAUACCGCAUUCCAUCGCAUCUGCCGAUAUCGGAUUAGCUUGUUUGUGGGGUAAAGGCUCACCAAGGCAACGAUCCGUAGCUGGUUUGAGAGGACGACCAGCCACACUGGGACUGAGACACGGCCCAGAGUCCUACGGGAGGCAGCAGUGGGGAAUUUUGGACAAUGGAGGAAAGCCUGAUCCAGCCAUUCCGCGUGUAUGAGAAGGCCUUCGGGUUGUAAAGUACUUUUGGCAGAGAGGCGUUAUCGGCAGAAUAAGCACAGGCUAACUCCGUGCCAGCAGCCGCGGUAAUAC
rnacentral:rRNA from 1 species